CGCCCGGCCGGAUCCCGUGGGGGGAAUCCGCUCCGGGACAUGGGAAGCGCCUCGCUGUCGGC
rfam:Streptomyces sp. CB01249 scaffold3, whole genome shotgun sequence.